CCUACGGGUGGCAGCAGUGGGGGAUAUUGCACAAUGGGGGGAACCCUGAUGCAGCGACGCCGCGUGGGUGAAGGAGUGCUUCGGCAUGUAAAGCCCUAUCGGCAGGGAAGAAGCAAGACGGUACCUGACUAAGAAGCCCCGGCUAACUACGUGCAAGCAGCCGCGGUAAUACGUAGGGGGCGAGCGUUAUCCGGAUUCACUGGGGGUAAAGGGAGCGUAGACGGCCAUGCAGGCCAGGGGUGAAAGCCCGGGGCCCAACCCCGGGACUGCCCUUGGAACUGCAUGGCUGGAGUGCGGGAGGGGCAGGCGGAAUUCCUGGUGUAGCGGUGAAAUGCGUAGAUAUUAGGAGGAACACCAGUGGCGAAGGCGGCCUGCUGGGCUUUUACUGACGCUGAGGCUCGAAAGUGUGGGGAGCAAACAGGAUUAGAUACCCCAGUAGUC
rnacentral:rRNA from 1 species